UUUUUCGAAUUCGUGGAACUGGACCAUGUUUUAAAGAUGGCGGAUGGAUCAACUUUCGAUGAUAUUGAUAUAGACACUAUCACAGAUAUCAAUGAGUUAAAGCGAUACCAUAGCCUUUUACAGAAACAAGAGCAAGAACAUGAUGCUGAACUGGACCAAAUCUUAGAAAAUCAUAAUAAAAUUGAUCAGCGCAUACUGUCCAUAAAAGAACUAUUACCAAACUUGAAAUUAUUGUCAAAAGAAGCAGGUCAUCUCACUGAUGUUAUUGUAAAAACAAGCUCACUUGCUGAGAAAGUGAGCAGCAAAGUAAGGGAGCUAGACCUAGCUAAGAGUCGUGUACAGGAAGCAAUAAAAAGAGUGGAUGACAUUCUGGACUUAAAAUCGUGUGUUGAAGGUGUUCAAUCAUCUUUUCAAAAAGAAGAAUAUGAACAGGCAGCAGCAUUUAUUCACAGAUACUUGAGUUUAGAUGAGAGAGCAAUGCGAGAGAUUUUGCCAGUUGAUACUGAAGAAACUGAUUUAAAUGCGUCAUUCACAUACCUACAUAAAGCACAAGAAGAUUUGCAGCAAGCUGUAAGAAAGAAAUUCGAUGAAGCUGUAGUACAACGUAAAAAAUCAGAAGUUGAAAGAUUUUUCAAGUUAUUUCCGUUAGUUGGUUUGCAUGAAGAAGGUCUUUUAAAGUUUUCAAAAUACUUACGACAGCAGAUAGCAGAUUUAUCAGAAGUCAACAUCGAUACAGCUCUUAAUAUUAAUACCAAUGACAAUAAAGCAACUGUAAUAUUUGCAAAAACAUUGACAUUGCUUUUCGAAGAAAUCGCAAAACUUGUCGAAGAACACCAACCCCUUGUAGAUACUUUUUAUGGACCAGGGAGAAUGGUGGCGGUUCAGAAAGAAUUGCAGGAGGAAUGUGAUAAACAAUCAGAAUAUAUCAUAGAUCAGUUUUUAAAAUCAAGAAAGUUUGAUAUUGUUUGUGAAAAUCUACGAAAAAGUCAUAAGCCUUCAAAAAGUUCAGAAGUGAAGGGGAAACUUGACCCCAAAGAUUUAGAUAUCUUACUAGGGGAAAUUGUUCUCCUGAGCUCGAGAACUGAACUAUACCAAAACUUUUUACGAAAAACUGUAGAAAAUGAUAUCAAUUCUCUACCUGAAGAUGAAGUAAAAAAAGAUCUCGAAAAAACGUGUGAAAUGUUGAUAUCAAAUAGCGGAUUGAGUCGAAAACUACAAACAUUAAUGGGUGACUAUAUUGUGAUGGAAGGUUACUUUAUGAAAGAAAUGAUGGCUAAAGCUGUUUCUAUGGAUUCAUCUGAUAGUGAUUCAUUGACUUCGAGUAUGGUGGAUGAUGUAUUUUUUGUUCUACAAAAAUCAUUACGGCGUACACUGUCCACAUCAAAUAUCAACAUAAUAUGUGCAGUUUUGAAUAACGCUAGUUCGAUCGCCAUGACUGAAUAUAAAGACAUGCUCAAAGCAAAGUUGAAAGCUACUGGUUUUCCUUCAAGCACGAUCGAUUUGUCGGGUAUGUUCCAAGGCAAACUUCAACUUCAAACAAAUAUAAGCGAGCUGUUAGAAGCCAAAAAAAACUUUUUGAUCGUACUUAAUAAUAUUGACACAAGCGGCGAGUAUUUGCAGAAAUUGGUUGAUGAUAUAAAGAUUGAAUGUAAUCGCACGUUUAAAACGGAUGGAAGUGAACGAGAGAAACUCGAGAGCUGCUUGCUUGAUCUUGGCGCGUGUGGCCAUUCCUUUAAAGAAAUUCUUCAAACUGGUAUCACUCAAUUGUCAACAAAUACAAUACUUCCCAAGUUGAACCCGAUCACUGAUGGCUAUUCAUCUAUCAAACAUGAUUUAUCAGAGGAAGAUUUCUCAUACUACGAAGUCAAUGAUCCAUUUGUUCAGAAUCUGAUUGCAACUUUAGAUGGAAGUUUAAACGCAGCUAAGAAAUGGUUGACUCAUUCGAACUAUGAAUCAGCAAUCGGUAUAACGUGUCACGAACUUUCCGUCAGGUUAGAAAAAGCAGUCAUGAAAACAACCUUUAACAGGUUGGGAGGGUUGCAGUUUGAUAAAGAAUUGAGAUCGUUAAUACAAUACUUGACCAGCAUUACAGAAUGGACUGUUAGAGACAAAUUUGCUCGAUUAUCCCAAAUCGCGACUAUAUUAAACCUGGAGAAAGUGCGAUUUAGUUAGCGAACUGUUAGAGUACUGGGGCGAGAAUUCCGGCCCGUUAACAUGGCGGCUUACGCCCGGUGAAGUUCGGAAUGUUCUUUCUCUGAGAAACGAUUUUCGAAAGGAAGACAUUCAAAGAUUAAAGUUGUAAUUAAUUUCACCCCCUAUUUAUUUAUACGCACGCUUUUUUUUGGUAUCAUCAUCAUUUUUGUAGAAGAUACACACGAAUAAUUUCA